ACUUAUUACGAUAUAAGGAGUUGAUUUAAAUUUUCGAAAUAUCAAAGGGGGUACCCUUUGUAUUGAAAUCAACACCUGCAUCUCGAGUCAGUUUACUUUGUGGUUAGUCCAAGUCACAACUAGUGUGAAUACUUACUGCCAUCACUGUGUGCGACUCCCUCGCGCAGUAGAAAGUAGCGAAGUCCCUCCAUGGUGUAUUGUUCAGCCGCCUUGAUGGGAUCCACGACAUUGUGUUUGCUCUUGGACAUCUUCUGUCCGUCCACAGUCCAGUGAGAGUGCACGUAGAGCUGCUGAGGAGGCGAGAGUCCAGCGGCUAUCAAAAAUGCUGGCCAAUAAAUGCCGUGGAACUUGAGAAUGUCCUUGCCAAUGACUUGCUGGGCAGGUGGCCAAUUCGUGACGUACUACAAAGAGAAAAAGUCAGACUUUCAAUGGGGUACCUAAUACGAAUUCCAAAAAAAAUAAUAAAAUAGGAAUGCAAUUUUAGGAAACCAAGAUAAGGAUGAAAAUAAAGGAAUCAUAAAUUAGGAAAUUGAACUAA